rnacentral:rRNA from 1 species
UGACGCUGUUGCACGAAAGCGUGGGUAGCGAAUGAGAUUAGAUACCCCAGUAGUCCACGCCCUAAACGAUGGAUACUAGACAUUGGCAGUAUCGACCCUGUCAGUGUCGUUUAACCAAGCUAACGCGUUAAGUAUCCCGCCUGGGGAGUACGGUCGCAAGACUAAAACUCAAAGGAAUUGACGGGGACCCGCACAAGCGGUGGAGCAUGUGGUUUAAUUCGACAAUAAGCGAGGAACCUUACCAAGGCUUGACAUGAUGCUGCAAGCUCUGUGAAAGCAGAGCCGCCUUCGAGGGUGCAUCACAGGUGCUGCAUGGUUGUCGUCAGCUCGUGUCGUGAGAUGUACGGUUAAGUCCGGAAACGAGCGCAACCCCUGUCGUAUGUUAUAUUUUCAUGCGAGACUGCCCUGGUUAACAGGGAGGAAGGUGGGGAUGACGUCAAAUCAGCAUGGCUCUUACGCCUUGGGCUACACACGUGCUACAAUGGCCGGUACAAUGAGCCGCCAAGUCGAAAGAUGGAGCUAAUCUCAUCAAAACCGGUCUCAGUUCGGAUUGAGGGCUGCAACUCGCCCUCAUGAAGCUGGAAUCGCUAGUAAACGCAUAUCAGCCACGGUGCGUUGAAUACGUUCUCGGGUCUUGUACACACCGCCCGUCACACCAGGGGAGCCGGUAAUGCCCAAAGUCUCACCGUAAUAGGUGGGCCUAAGGUAGGACUGGUGACAAGGGUGAAGUCGUAACAAGGUAACCAAGGG